rnacentral:rRNA from 1 species
UACAGGGGGUGCAAACGUUGCUCGGAAUUAUUGGGCGUAAAGCGCGCGUAGGCGGCUACUUAAGUCGGAUGUGAAGGCCCCUGGCUCAACUGGGGAAGUGCACCCGAAACUGAGUAGCUAGAGUGCAAAAGAGGGUCGCGGAAUUCCCGGUGUAGAGGUGAAAUUCGUAGAUAUCGGGAGGAACACCGGUGGCGAAGGCGGCUCUCUGGUCCACAACUGACGCUGAGGUGCGAAAGCUAGGGGAGCAAACGGG